rnacentral:rRNA from 1 species
UACGUAGGGGGCGAGCGUUGUCCGGAUUUAUUGGGCGUAAAGAGCGUGUAGGCGGCCAGGUAGGUCUGCUGUGAAAACUCGAGGCUCAACCUCGAGACGUCGGCGGAAACCAUCUGGCUAGAGUCCGGAAGAGGAGAGUGGAAUUCCUGGUGUAGCGGUGAAAUGCGCAGAUAUCAGGAAGAACACCCGUGGCGAAGGCGGCUCUCUGGGACGGUACUGACGCUGAGACGCGAAAGCGUGGGGAGCGGACAGG